AACGUGCUACUAUCACCCAUGCUACAAAAAAUCCACCCAAGAUCCAUAUCCAGAUCCCCUCCACCCCGGCCUCCCUUCCACCCCCUCUCUCUCUCCCACGCGACUCCCCUCACCGCUGCCGUCUUCGGCUCCAGCCGCGAUUCCGGCAAGUUCCGGCAGCGCGCAACACACCGUCGAGACCUCCUCGCUCCGGCGCUUCCUCCUCUCCGGGCAGAUUAGCUUGCUUAAUCGCAACCCCACCCCCGUGGCUAGGGUUGGGUUGCAGGAGGGGCCUUCUUCCUCACCGGCCGGCUCGAGCUGGCCAGAUCCACGGCGUCGUGCCCCUCCAUGACCUCAAACCCUCAGGAUACACAGGCGCUCGCAACCAUGGAAUGGAUGGAUCCAUGGGACUAGGCCGACGCCAUGGAAGGGAAUGAAGGGCCACCAACAGCAACUCCCUCUGGUCUUCUCCCACCAUGGAAGGUAUCACCCAUGCUUGUCCACGCUCAUCCAUGCCACAUUCCAAGCAUUGCUGCAACUUACAUCUUCAGACCAGACACAAUUCUCAAGCUUUUGUUCCUUCUUCGGGAAACUGCACAUUCAUCUCCAGCUUGUUGAUACUAACUCGAUAAUGUUGCUAUCCUCAAGCAUACAUGGAAGCCACCGCCACUACUCCGACCCUACUGCCAACGCCCCAUGGAGACUCUGCUCUCUCUCGUGUCCUGCCUGUGUGUCCUGACCAUCAAACCAAUUACCCCGAGGUGUUGCUUCUUUUCACUAGUGCAGCAGCUUGUGUGCGUGUGCGUCUAGUAUGAGCGAGAUUCGACAGCACAAGAUGAGCUCUUGUAGCGAUGAUUGAUUCUCUAUUGUUCACACAAGUCCAUGCCAAUUUUGUCUUGUCUUGACACUUUACUUUCGGUUUUGCAAUAGGGAAGACAUUGAUUUGAUUUGGGGGGAGGUGACGUACACCAAAUAGAAAUUCAGAGUUGUAGAUGUUCAUGAGAAGAUGUCAUUGCUGACCUUAGUCAAUUUUAAUUUGUUCCCGAGACUAGCAAUCAAGUAAAAUCCCUUCAUUACAAACUAAUUGAAGUUCAAUACAAAAAAAUCAAUUGAAGUUCUAACAUUGUGCUAAGUCAACCUUCUUCAAGUUUGACCAAGUAUAUAAAAACUAUUUCAACAUCUACAACACCAAUUUAUUUUCAUCAUAACAUUGAUCCCGUGUUAAUUAUCCCCAUAUAUGUGUCCGAUGGCAAGUUGCGGUCAUGUACAUGCUAGCUAUUCGCGAGCUUAGACUGCGCUUAUUGGUCGGCAUUCCCUAAAAAAAUUGGUGUUUUCUUCGUACAUCGCUUCGUUUGGUGUUUGCUUCUAUAAAUUUGAAAUUGAAGAAAUUCAAAUCUGGGUUAGUAAGUCUUGGGAGGAUGUCUUGCUACAUGCUCUAGAUUCAGUCCAAUACUGGUUGUACAGUUAGCUUCCCUCGAAAUACAUGAUUCGUAUUGCGUUAAUAAUCUGGAGCUAGUUGUAUUUUUAAUUCACUAGCCUUUUACUUAUACAUGAGAGAAGUGAGAAGCUAAGUCAAUAGGAGCUAAACUCAACCCUUGGCUUGUUACGUGAGCUCAAACUAGUGACUAGUGAGUGUUUCAUGUAGUGAACUUGAUUUUCUGGUGUUUUUGUAACAUCCAUGUAAGGUGCAUAGCAGCCCUAUUUUGUGCUAGAUCCUUUGUUUAACCAAAUCAGUUAGGGAUGAUAGCCCAUUCAUGAGCAAUAUUGCGAGAUGUUGGUUGCCUUUUAGAGAAAAUCUGGAGCGUGGGGUGACUCUAGCAAUAAACUGAACUUGGUUCAGUUAAAACCUACACUCUCAAAUUUGGACAGCAAGCUUAUAUCUGAAAAAAGAGUUAGCUAGUCUCAUAAUUUUGAGUUGGCCCCUUUACAUAAGUUUUAAUAAAGAUCCAAGGUUUCUUUAGAGUAUUUAUUUGUGUCGUUUGGAUGUACGGUUUGAUAGCAGCCAUCAGUUUAGUUUACUGUCCUGAAAUAUAUGUUCCUGGGUACAGUAUUUUGAUAUGGGAGAUUAGGACCUGUUAGAAGUGGUAUUAAAAUAAAGUUACAACAUGGAUAUUUUAGAGGCUGUUCUGUAGACACUUAAACACAUAUCAUUUGUCAGGUUUGGUUUGGUAUAUUAAAUCCUACGAAAUUAUCAAUGUGGGUUGUACUAUGUUGGACAAAAUUUUAUGUUUGGACUUGGGUGAAUGUAACCAGACUUAUACUCUCAGAUUUUGUUAUGGUUGAUGGUGUGAGGACUUAUAAUGUGAUAAAGUAUAUACUUUGUUGCAAAACCAAAAUCAGUGAAAUAUAUUGCCUUUUUUGCAGCUGAUGACAUCUCCUGGAAUCUUUACUCCAUAAAGUUCAUUGAUGACAGCCAAGGUUUCAUGCUCCGAAGUGACUAGAUCUUUCUCCAUGUUGUCGACUCACCCAGAGUCCUUAAUCAUGAGGAGAUGGGACACGUCGAUUGUUAGAGUACACUUGACAGGUGCAUUUUGUGAAAUUCUGGCGUGAAGAUUGAUAGCAUGCUUGCCUGCUUGUUCUUUUCAGGGGUGAUCAACACUGACUAGCACGGCCGGUGGGUGCUAUGCUCAUCAAGUACUCGGAGGAAGACUUCUCGGUGAAGCCGGCGGCCAUGUCCCGUAGAUGAUUGUCCAGGUGAUUUCAACGCCGGAGGUCGCCGAGGUGCAGGACCUCAACGCCACCGUCCGGGGGGAGGGAGGAUUCGUGUCCACCGGCGUCUAAGCUCCGAGCCUUGGUAGAUACAUCCAGGGAAGUGGUCUGUUUAGGUUGGUAAUGGAACACCAAGGAAGGUACCCACCUUUUGUAACACCCACGAUGCGGCUAUAUCUCCCACAAGUCGGAGCAUGACUUAGAGGCAUAACCGCAUAGUAGGCAUGUCACAAGAGGGGUAAUCUUUACACAUCCCAUGUAUUUAAUAAGAAAGGGA